rnacentral:rRNA from 1 species
GUCAGCAGCUAAACGACUCUGCAUUUCAGACCAGGUGAUCCAUCUGAAGCUAAACAGGUUUGGGCCUGGCCAGUACUUAGGUGGGAGGCCAACUAGGAAAGCUGGGAUUCUGCUGGAG